AGAGCUGUAGGUCAGUGGUAGACUGCUUGCUUCACAUGCAUGAGGCCCUGGGUUCAACGCCCCCAAUUCUG
rnacentral:tRNA from 1 species